CAGCCGCCGCGGGAAUACGUAGGGUGCGAGCGUUAAUCGGAAUUACUGGGCGUAAAGCGUGCGCAGGCGGUUUUGUAAGACAGGCGUGAAAUCCCCGGGCUCAACCUGGGAAUGGCGCUUGUGACUGCAAAGCUAGAGUGCGGCAGAGGGGGAUGGAAUUCCGCGUGUAGCAGUGAAAUGCGUAGAUAUGCGGAGGAACACCGAUGGCGAAGGCAAUCCCCUGGGCCCGCACUGACGCUCAUGCACGAAAGCGUGGGGAGCAAACAGGAUUAGAUACCCCCGUAGUCCCUGUCUCUUAUAC
rnacentral:rRNA from 1 species